AUGAAAAAUACUAAAAUAUCUGAGAAUAUAAUGCAUGUGGAGAUUUGUGUGCAUGUGUGCAUGUAUCUUUAUAGUAGAAUUAUUUAUAUUCCUUUGUGUGUAUUCUCAGUAAUGCGAUUUCUGGGUCAAAUGGUAUUUCUGGUUCUAGAUCCUUGAGGAAUCAUGAUACUGUCUCCCUCAAUGGUUGAAUUCCUUUACCUUCCCACCAACAGUGUAAAAGUAUCCUGUUUCUCCAUAGCCUCUCCAGCAUCUAUAGCUUCUUGACUUUUUAACAAUUACCAUUCUGACUGACAUGAGGUAGUAUCUCAUUGCGGUUUUGAUUUGCAUUUCUCUGGUAAUCAAUCAUGUUGAGCUUUUUUUCUUAUGUUUGUUGGCCAUGUAAAUGUUUUCUUUUGAGAACUGUCUGUUCAUAUCCUGUAAAUUUGGAUACUACACCUUUGUCAGAUGGGUAGAUUGCAGACAUUUUACUCUGUUCUGUAGAUUGCCUGUUCACUCCAAUGAUAGUUUGAUUUGCUGUGCAGAAACUCUUUAGUUUAAUUAGAUUAGUUAAAUCUUUACUUAAUUAGAUUCCAUUUGUCACUUUUGGCUUUUGUUGCAAUUGCUUUUGGUGUUCUCAUCAUCAAGUCUCUGCCCAUGCCUUGGCCAUUUUAGACAACAUAUAUAUCUUCUCCCAGCCACGUGUUUCUUUACUUAAAUUAACUUACAUUGAAUAGAAAUAAUUGUUUUGGUUUCUAAUGAAAAGAUUACUUUCCUAGCCUUUGGUAAAUACUGCCCCACAGUUUUUAUAAGUAGCUUAUCAUGUGUACCUUUAAGAAGUUGUCAUUAAUGUAUUACUUGAUAUCAUGAAAUUGAACAAAAUAUAAAUAAAAAUGGAUUCCCUUCCUAUGCUCAGCACUAAUGUGACUAUUUUAGGCAACUAAAUUUUUGAACAUCAUGUAUAAAAUCAUGAUAGAAUUUACUAUGUUUUCUAAAUGUUCUGAUCUUUGUUUACAAAUUCAUUUACAGUUUGUUUAAUAAUAUUUUUGAUUUAUUUAUUAUUAAGCACUAAGAUUUUGAUUUAAUACUAUAGAUGUUCUGUUAUAUGUUGUUAACUGUUAACUUUGCUUAUUAACUUAGAAAAGGUAUCUGCUGGGCUUUACCCAUCUCAAAACUGAGGGUCCCCUCCCUUCUGCACAUUAAUUUCUUUGUUAAUCAAUAAAACAGGGACAUACCCAAUAACUUUUCUUUGUUGCAGGAGAGUAAUUUUCUGAUGGGGGUAUGAGCUAAAAAUAAGCUUUCCCCACAGUGGACAGAAAUAGAGGUGCGAUUUCAUGGCAUGAAAGUGCCUUCAGAACAUUCCUUUACUCCCACUUCAUGAACAUAGCAUUUUGGGAUUGGGUGAGAGACUCAGCUACUUUUUAAAGUACCUGCAGUCUUAAUUAUGCACUGAUCAAGCCUUCAGAAUGACUAUGCAUCUGGAAUCAAGUAAGAUGUUCUAUAAAAAGAGCUAAAGCCAUAAUCAUAGAUAGAGGUGAAUUAACAUCUUUUAUUUUACAUUUUGGGAUUCAUUAUUUUACUUUUACAAGAAGAACAAAAAUUAUUAGUAUUCAUGGACUUUCGUCCUACCCACCUCACCCGCUACAGAAUAUUAUAUCUCUGCCUGCUCAGCCCCUGGGGUUUCACUGUCUGCAUUGUUGGUAAUGGGAGGGGAAAUAGAACUGGAAGAGCAAGGAAAUCAAUAGACACAUCAUGAAUGCAGAGUUGUAAAAAGAGUUAAAAAGAGAAUAAUGGGAAAGCAAAACAACAAUUAAAAAAGGAAGUAAGCAAACAAACAGGAUAUGUGAUCUGAGAUGAGAAUAUUUAGAAAAUAAGAGCUUUUGAUGGCAACUGACAGGCUUAUAAAAUGUUGAGAGAAGACUUGUCAAAAGGGGCAGUUAAAAAAAAACAUGAAAAAUUUUCUGUGUCUUUGGAGAUUUGCUGCUUUAAUGCUUUACAGAGUCUUAAAUACUUAAACUGCCUUUCAAUUUUCUAAGCAAGUCUGGUGAUUAUUUAAUUAUAACUGUGCUCAGACUUAGCUGAAGAUAGCUCAAAUUUAUGUGGGAUUGUUUGAUUCAUUUUGUCCUUGGAAUAAAAAAAAAUUUGAACUAAAUGUGCCAUUAUGUGAUAUUCUCUUAACUUAUUAAGAAGCAUGAGCAUGUGUAUGUGUGUGUGUCACAGAGAUUUUAAAAUAUUUUACUGAUAAUUUUUCUGCUAAAUAUAUGAAAUUUUGUGUUACAUUGCUUAAGCACAUACUCAAACAUAUGACACAGAACAGAAAUUUGUACAAAAUGUUGUCUCAAAAAGAUUAUCAUUGGAGCUCUGUAGUCCUACAACCUAGAUAGCUAGAUGCUUUCUAUAUCAUGAAUAUAUGGUAGCUAUUUAAAUUGAUAUAAGUGAAGACAAAUCUAGACACACAAAUAUAUAUGGAGGUGGUAAUAAUUAUUAUUAAUCUCUCAGCACAAUUAGCAAAAUCAUUCCAUUUUACUUUCAAAACUGGUGAUUUUGAAAAGAGUCUCCUAGGAUUCUGGUGUCCCAAACAUCCUUUCAGGGGGUACAUGAAGUCAUAAUCUAUUCAUAGAAAUGCUAAAAGUUCUUUAUGGUUUUGCUUUUUGCUCUUCCAUAAGUGUACACUGGAGUUUUCCAGCAGCUAUAUCCCAUGUAAUACUGCAGUAGAUUAAAUGCAGAACCAUACAUAAAAAACCAUCUCUCUUCUAGUAAGGCUGGUAUUUUUAAAGUUUUGACAACUAUAAAAUGAUGUUACUCUUUUCACCAUUUUUGUUUUAAAAAUAUGGUCUUUUGUU
rnacentral:lncRNA from 1 species